GAUGAACGCUGGCGGCGUGCCUAAUACAUGCAAGUCGAGCGAACGGACCAGGAGCUUGCUUCUCUGAUGUUAGCGGCGGACGGGUGAGUAACACGUGGAUAACCUACCUAUAAGACUGGUAUAACUUCGGGACACCGGAGCUAAUCCCGGAUAAUAUUUUGAACCGCAUGGUUCGAUAGUGAAAUACGGUCUUGCUGUAACUUCUCGAUGGAUCUGCGCUGCAUUAGCUAGUUGGUAAGGUAACGGCCUAUGAAGGCAACGAUGCAUAGCCGAGCUGCGAGGCGGAUAGGCCACCCUGGAACGGAGCCACGGUCCAUACGACUACGGGAGGCAGCAGUCGGGUAUCGUACGCAAUGGGGGAAAACCUGACGGAGCAACGGGGAGUGAGUUAUAACAGUCUUCCGAGCGUGAAACUCUGUUACUAGUGAAGAACCUAUUUGGCAGUAACUGAGCACAUCUUGACGGUAACUAGUCAGAAAGCCACGGCUAACUACGUG
rnacentral:rRNA from 1 species